GACGUAGGGUGCGAGCGUUGUCCGGAUUUAUUGGGCGUAAAGAGCUCGUAGGCGGCUCGUCGCGUCGUCCGUGAAAACCCGCGGCUUAACCGCGGGCUUGCGGUUGAUACGGGCGGGCUAGAGUUCGGUAGGGGAGACUGGAAUUCCUGGUGUAGCGGUGAAAUGCGCAGAUAUCGGGAGGAACACCUAUGGCGAAGGCAGCUCGCUGGGACGUUACUGACGCUGAGACGCGAAAGCGUGGGGAGCAAACAGG
rnacentral:rRNA from 1 species